GGGAACUGAGGCUAAUACUUGAUAGAGAACUUAUACUGGAAUGUUUUGUUCUUGAAACUCGAGCCUAAAGAUGAGGCUGCGCCGGAUUAGGUUGUUGGCGGUGUAAUGGACCACCAAGCCGAAGAUCCGUAAGGGCUUUUAGCGAAGAAGCCCUGAGAGGGAAUCUGAGACACUAUUCCCAGCCCUACGGGGUGCAGCAGUUAGGAAUAAUCUACAAUGCGCGAAAGCGUGAUAGUUUGAGUCGGAGUGCGUUUCAAUUUGGAAUGCUUUUGCCAAGUCUAAAAAGCUUGGCGAAUAAGGACUGGGUAAGACGGGUGCCAGCCGCCGCGGUAAUACCCGCGGUCCAAGUCGCAGCCAUUUUUAUUGGGUCUAAAACAUCCGUAGCUUGCUUUUUAAGUUUCCUGUGAAAUUCUAUAUCUUAAAUGUAGAGCGUGCAGGGAGUACUGGGAAGCUAGAGACUGGGAGACGUAACGAGUACGUUCAAAGUAGCGGUAAAAUGUGUUAAUCUUGAACGGACUAACAACAGCGAAGGCACGUUACGAGAACAGUUCUGACAGUAAGGGAUGAAGGCUAGGGGCGCAAAACGGAUUAGAUACCCGUGUAGUCCUAGCGGUAAACACUGCAUACUAAACAUCAGUAUCUCCUCGAGAGGUAUUGGUGCUGAAGCGAAGGCGAAGAGUAUGCUACCUGGGAAGUAUAGUCGCAAGGCUGAAACUUAAAGGAAUUGGCGGGG
rnacentral:rRNA from 1 species